rnacentral:ribozyme from 1 species
AGCCUCUUGUAACUCCUAUCCCUACCUCCCCGUGGUGCCGCCUGGGGUACGAGUAACCGUAGGGAAGAACGGGUAACCUUCCCCGGUGGGACCUUUAUCGUAUGCUGACAGGGAAGG